CUGUCCUCUGGAGUUCCCCUGACCACUUCACUAGAGGUUUCCUGGACCCUUAAUAGGAAGAAACCUGACCUACUGAAGUGUUUGGGGGAACUCCUGUUGGCAC
rnacentral:pre_miRNA from 1 species